CUUCGGGUACAGUUACAAUGUAACUGAAGUGUUCUAUUGGCCUUCCCCCUGCUUAAAGCAUUUGAUACCUUAGUAUCGCUGCCUAGCUCUACCAUAGAGUAAGGCAAACUCGCUUGGUUUCAAACAU
rnacentral:snoRNA from 14 species